rnacentral:rRNA from 1 species
UACGGGGGGGGCAAGCGUUGUUCGGAAUUACUGGGCGUAAAGGGUCUGUAGGUGGCCAACUAAGUCAGACGUGAAAUCCCUCAGCUUAACUGGGGAACUGCGUCUGAUACUGGUUGGCUUGAGUGCAGGAGAGGAACGCGGAAUUCCAGGUGUAGCGGUGAAAUGCGUAGAUAUCUGGAGGAACACCGGUGGCGAAGGCGGCGUUCUGGACUGCAACUGACACUGAUGGACGAAAGCCAGGGGAGCAAACGGG